rnacentral:rRNA from 1 species
GAGUUGAUUCGAGCUCCGGCUCGACUCUCCCACCCCAUGUGUACCUACCUCUGUUGCUUUGGCGGGCCGCGGUCCUCCGCACCGACCCCCGUUCGGGGGCCGGCCAGCGCCCGCCAGAGGACCACAAAACUCCAGUCAGUAAACGUCGCAGUCUGAGAAACAAGUUAAUAAACUAAAACUUUCAACAACGGAUCUCUUGGUUCUGGCAUCGAUGAAGAACGCAGCGAAAUGCGAUAAGUAAUGUGAAUUGCAGAAUUCAGUGAAUCAUCGAAUCUUUGAACGCACAUUGCGCCCCUUGGUAUUCCGAGGGGCAUGCCUGUUCGAGCGUCAUUUCAACCCUCAAGCUCUGCUUGGUAUUGGGCUCCGUCCUCCGCGGACGCGCCUCGAAGACCUCGGCGGUGGCGUCUUGCCUCAAGCGUAGUAGAAAACACCUCGCUUUGGAGCGCACGGCGUCGCCCGCCGGACGAACCUUUGAAUUUUUCUCAAGGUUGACCUCGGAUCAGGUAGGGAUACCCGCUGAACUUAAGCAUAUCAAUAAGCGGAGGA